GACGAACGCUGGCGGCGUGCCUAAUACAUGCAAGUCGAACGCUGAAGGAGGAGCUUGCUUCUCUGGAUGAGUUGCGAACGGGUGAGUAACGCGUAGGUAACCUGCCUGGUAGCGGGGGAUAACUAUUGGAAACGAUAGCUAAUACCGCAUAAUAGUAGAUGUUGCAUGACAUUUGCUUAAAAGGUGCAAUUGCAUCACUACCAGAUGGACCUGCGUUGUAUUAGCUAGUUGGUGGGGUAACGGCUCAUCAAGGCGACGAUACAGAGCCGACCUGAGAGGGUGGUCGGCCACACUGGGACUGAGACACGGCCCAGACUCCUACGGGAGGGAGCAGUAGGGGAUCUUCGGCAAUGGACGGAAGUCUGACCGAGCAACGCCGCGUGAGUGAAGAAGGUUUUCGGAUCGUAAAGCUCUGUUGUAAGGGAAGAACGAGUGUGAGAGUGGAAAGUUCACACUGUGACGGUAUCUAACCAGAAAGGGACGGCUAACUACGUG
rnacentral:rRNA from 1 species